rnacentral:rRNA from 1 species
CUGUCUUAUGCAGGGGGACAACAGGUGGAAACGUCUGCUAAUACCCCAUAAUCCGAGAGGUAAAAGGAGCAAUCCGGCACUUGAGGUACUCGCGUCCUAUCAGCUAGUAGGUGAGGUAACGGCUUACCUAGGCGAAGACGGGUAACCGGCCUGAGAGGGCGAACGGUCACACUGGAACUGAGAUACGGUCCAGACUCCUACGGGAGGCAGCAGUGGGGAAUAUUGGGCAAUGGGGGGAACCCUGACCCAGCGACGCCGCGUGGGUGAAGAAAUUCUUCGGAAUGUAAAGCCCUGUUGUAUGGGAAGAGUAGAAGACGGUACCAUACGAGGAAGCCCCGGCAAACUACGUGCCAGCAGCCGCGGUAAUACGUAGGGGGCAAGCGUUGUCCGGAAUUACUGGGCGUAAAGCGCACGCAGGCGGAAUUGUAAGUCGGUAGUAAAAGACGGAGGCUCAACUUCCGCAGAUCUAUCGAAACUGCAAAUCUUGAGUAUGUGAGAGGAAAGUGGAAUUCCCGGUGUAGCGGUGAAAUGCGUAGAUAUCGGGAGGAAACACCAGUGGCGAAGGCGACUUUCUGGCACAAUACUGACGCUCAUGUGCGAAAGCUAGGGCGGCGAACGGGAUUAGAUACCCCGGUAGUCCUAGCCGUAAACGAUGGAUACUA